AUGGAAGUUUAAAAACCUGCCCCUGAAUGACUUUUGGGUAAAAAAUGAAAUUUAUGCAAAAAUCAAGAAAUUCUGUAAAAAUAAUGAGAACGAAGACGCAAUACAGAAUCUCUGGGACACAAUUGAAGCAAUGUGUAGAAGGAAAUUUACAGCAUUAAAUGCCCACAACAGAAAUGAGGAAAGAUCUAAAAUCUACACCCUAACAUCACAAUUAAAAGAAUUAGAGGA